rnacentral:rRNA from 1 species
GUGUCAGCCGCCGCGGUAAUACGGAGGGUGCAAGCGUUAUCCGGAUUCACUGGGUUUAAAGGGAGCGUAGGCGGGUAGAUAAGUCAGCGGUGAAAUACCCAAGCUUAACUUGGGAGCUGCCAUUGAUACUGUCUAUCUUGAAUAUCGUAGAGGUAAGCGGAAUAUGUCAUGUAGCGGUGAAAUGCUUAGAUAUGACAUAGAACACCAAUUGCGAAGGCAGCUUACUAUGCGAAUAUUGACGCUAAGGCUCGAAAGCGUGGGGAUCAAACAGGAUUAGAUACCCCAGUAGUCC